rnacentral:rRNA from 1 species
GUACCAACCUGCCCCAUGCUCCAGAAUAGCUCUUGGAAACGGGUGGUAAUGCUGGAUGCUCCAACUUGACGCAUGUCUUGUUGGGAAAGUGUUUAGUGGCAUGGGAUGGGGUCGCGUCCUAUCAGCUUGUAGGCGGGGUAAUGGCCCACCUAGGCUUCGACGGGUAGCCGGCCUGAGAGGGCGGACGGCCACAUUGGGACUGAGAUACGGCCCAGACUCCUACGGGAGGCAGCAGCU